CGGUUUUGGAUCGGUUCGGAUAUAUCCGAAGUAACCAUAUAUCAUUCGGAUUCGGCUUAUAUCGGACCGGUUCGGAUAUAUACAAAGUAAAAUCUAAAAUUUAAAAGUAUAACAUAAGAAAUAUAUUUUUCUUUGCAUAUAAUAGAGUAUUUAAGGUAUUUAUUUAAAUUUUCAAUACUUAUUGUUAUAUAUCAUAUCCAAAUAAAUAUGAAAUUAAAUAUUUGAAGUACAUAUUUAUAACAAAUAUUUAUAUUAUGUAUUAAUUUGGACAUUCGGAUUGGUUUCCUCGGAUAUUUUUUCGGGUUUUCGUGCUUUUCGGAUUUUCGGGUUUUCGGGUUACCCGUUCGGGUUCGGUUAAUAACACUCCGGGUUCGGAUAUGUUUAGUAACACCCUAUAAGAUCCAUUGAAGUAUUUUUUACAUUUCGGAUCGGGUACGGAUAGGUUUUUUUGGUUCGGAUUCGGUUUGGAUUUCGGGUUUCGGAUUUUAUGCCCAGCCCUACUAAUCAGCUUCAGACAAGAAACGAAGGUUGUAUCUCUGCAUCCUUCGACGGCGACUCGAUGUCGUGUCCUCUUUCUAUCACCAUCUGAAACAGUCCGAGUUAAGAGUUCGUGUUUAAUCCCAUCGAUUCGCUCUCCCACAAUGUGUAUUCAAAGCAUUCUUCGAGCUGAGAGGCGGUGUGGUUUUUGUAUAAAUAUAUGGUUUUUUCUCUGAUCUGAAGUCCGGCAAGUGUACCUCCGUCAUCGAGGCUAGGCUCCUGCGGUUCUGGGAGGCCAGGAACAUUAAAUGCGGUGGGGAACUCAUGUGGGUUGAUAUGCUCCCGGUGGAUGUUAACGCUACCAUGAUGCAAGCCACCAUCAAUGCUAGCGGGCUUCCGAGAUUUCGGUCUAGGCUCGCCGCCGGGACGAUGUUCUCCGUCUCCGGAUUUGAUGUGUCUGGUGUGCCCAGAAUUUCCUCCUUUCUUCACUAUCACCACGAGUAGAAAGAUGACCAUCAUGAAGGCUUGAGUCAUCUGUAAUUUUUUCCUCAAGAUCUAAAAAACAAGAUUGAAGAAUCUAAGUUAUAAAGAAGCUUUGCAAUUUGGUAUUUGGAGUUUUUUUAUAAAUCUUCAAUAAUGAUUUUGAGAUUGAUUCUUCUCCUGUUUCAUUACAUCUCAGUGUUUGCUAUCUGAGUGUUUUUUACGCUCAAGCCAACCAUCUUAACCAGAAGUUAUUGGCCUUGGAUGUGGAGCCUGAGGUGAUGUCGCUACCAGUAAUAACCUCAAGUUCAUGGGAGGUAACCUUUCAUUGAUCUCCUACAACUUGCAGGCUGGAUUUUCCUAAAUGCAAUUUCUGGCACAUAUAUAUACUUACUUUGACAAAGAAACAAGUGACAGUGACACCUUCAUAGCCAGCUUUGGUAAUGGUGACUUAGCCUCUUCCCAGCGCCGGUCAAUAUGUUUCAUGGCCCUACUCAAAAUUUGGGCUUUAGCUGUGUAAAAAAUUGAUGAAACAGUACCUUAAAGGAAAAACGAGAAUUAUGUAUGGGCCCGUAAGCGGCAGCUUAUACUGCUUCCGCAGCGGGCUGUGCCUGCCUCUUCCACAAGUUUGAUCAAAUAUGGUGGUGCUGAUAAAAUAGAAACAGUAACAGUGUCAGAGCUCAACACCUAUGUGCUCAACUCUACACCUCAGAUCCAUUGCCUAUAUCUUUCCUAAUGCUUAUUGUUUUCACAUUCAUUCAUUGUAGUGUUCUACUUCAGGUUGUAGUGUUCUUUAUUCCUUAAAAAAUAAUUUUUUAUUAGAUCUGUCGUUAUGCA